rnacentral:tRNA from 1 species
GGGGAUACAGCUCAGGGGUAGAGUGUGUGCUUAGCAUGCACGAGGUCCUGGGUUCAAUCCAGCAGCUCCA